rnacentral:rRNA from 1 species
UGGGGAAUAUUGGACAAUGGGCGAAAGCCUGAUCCAGCCAUGCCGCGUGAGUGAUGAAGGCCCUAGGGUUGUAAAGCUCUUUCAGCGGGGAAGAUAAUGACGGUACCCGCAGAAGAAGCCCCGGCUAACUUCGUGCCAGCAGCCGCGGUAAUACGAAGGGGGCUAGCGUUGUUCGGAAUCACUGGGCGUAAAGCGCGUGUAGGCGGAUUGUUAAGUCAGGGGUGAAAUCCUGAGGCUCAACCUCAGAACUGCCUUUGAUACUGGCGAUCUUGAGUCCGGGAGAGGUGAGUGGAACUCCUAGUGUAGAGGUGAAAUUCGUAGAUAUUAGGAAGAACACCAGUGGCGAAGGCGGCUCACUGGCCCGGUACUGACGCUGAUAUGCGAAAGCGUGGGGAGCAAACA